rfam:Pan troglodytes isolate Yerkes chimp pedigree #C0471 (Clint) chromosome 15, whole genome shotgun sequence.
GCCGGGCGUGGUGGCACGUGCCUGUAAUCCCAGCUACUCAGGAGGCUGAGGCAGGAGAAUUGCUUUAACCCAGGAGGUGGAGCGUGCAGUGAGCCAAGAUCACGCCACUGCACUCCAGCCUGGGUGACAGAGCAAGACUCUGUCUCAG